GGUCAAGUUACUAAGGGCAUGUGGUGGAUGCCUUGGCGCCUGGAGCCGAUGAAGGACGUGGCGUGACUGCGAAAAUCCCUGGCUAGCUGUCAAGCGAGCUUAACCGGGGGUAUCCGAAUGAGGCAACUCAGCUCAAUUUUAUUGAGUUACCGCUGAUUGAACACAUAAAUCAGAUGGAGGGAACCGGGGGAACUGAAACAUCUAAGUACCCUGAGGAAUAGAGAUUAUUCCCUUAGUAGCGGCGAGCGAACGGGGAACAGCCCAAACCGUCUUCUGCGGAAGGCGGGGUUGUAGGACAGUUCAUAUGGAGUUACAAANNGNUUNGAUANCUGAANCGCCUGGGANGGNGUGCCACAGAUGGUGANAGCCCAGUAAGUGACAUNGANNCNACUCCGANCUGUAUCCUGAGUAGUGCGGGACACGAGAAAUCCCGUNUGAAUCUGGGAAGACCACUUUCCAAGGCUAAAUACUCCAGGCGACCGAUAGCGUAUAGUACCGUGAGGGAAAGGUGAAAUAGUACCCCGAGAGGGGAGUGAAAUAGUUCCUGAAACCGCAUGCUUACAAGCAGUUGGAGCCAGUUCGUUCGCGAAUUGGUGACAGCGUGCCUAUUGAAGAAUGAGCCAACGAGUUACGUUCAGUGGCAAGGUUAAGCGAUGAGAGUCGUGGAGCCGUAGCGAAAGCGAGUCUUAAAAGGGCGAAAGUGGCUGGACGUAGACCCGAAACCGAGUGAUCUACCCAUGGGCAGAGUGAAGCGGGAGUAAUGCCCCGUGGAGGCUCGAACCUUCCUGAGCUGCAAAUCAGUUGGAUGACCUGUGGGUAGCGGAGAAAUUCCAAUCGAACUCGGAGAUAGCUGGUUCUCCUCGAAAUGUAUCUAGGUACAGCCUCGUGUGUUUUCUUCUGGGGGUAUGGCUCUGAAUGGACUAGGGGGCAUAGCGCUUACCAAACCCAAUCAAACCGGGAAUACCAGAAGAUUAGAACGCGGGAGUGAGACUGUGGGAGCUAACUUCCAUGGUCAAGAGGGAAACAACCCAGACCCCCGGCUAAGGUCCCUAAAUCCAUGCUCAGUGUGCAAGGAUGUCCAGUUGCAUAGACAACCAGGAUGUUGGCUUAGAAGCAGCCANCAUUUAAAGAGUGCGUAACUGCUCACUGGUCGAGUGGCCGGGCGCCGACAAUGUAACGGGGCUNAAGCAUGGUACCGAAGCUAGGGGACCGCUUUUUAGCGGUCGGUAGAGGAGCGUUCUGUAUGCNAUGAAGCUGUGCGGGUGACCGUCGGUGGAGCGUNCAGAAGUGAGAAUGUNGGCAUGAGUAGCGAAAUUCAGGUGAGAACCCUGAACGCCGUAAGCCCAAGGGAUCCUACGCAAAGCUAAUCCGCGUAGAGUUAGGCGGGCCUAAGCCGAGGGCGAGAGCCGUAGGCGAUGGACAGCAGGUAAGUAUUCCUGCCCCACCAUAUGGGCGUUUGAGAUGUGAGGUGUGACCCAGAAGGAUAGACAGAGCGGGCCCUGUGGACAUGGUCCGUCCCUACACCGUAGGCGUCUGACGAUAGGAAAAUCCGUUGUCAGGUUAAGCGGAGGGUGAGGGGGGNAGUGGAGACUUCGGUCAAAACGACUCUGUUGAGUCCAUGCUGGCUAGAAAAGCAUCGGCAUCGAGUGCAUAUGGUGUCCGUACCGCAAACCGACACAGGUGGGCGACGGUAAGUACCGUAAGGCGAACGAGAGAACCUUCGUUAAGGAACUCGGCAAAAUAGCUCCGUAACUUCGGGAGAAGGAGCGCCCUUGUGAGUGAAACACUUUACGUGUGGAGCAUCACGAGGGCCGCAGUGAGCAGGCCCAGGCGACUGUUUAACAAAAACACAGGUCUCUGCGAACCAGUAAUGGGAUGUAUAGGGGCUGACGCCUGCCCAGUGCCGGAAGGUUAAGGAGAUGGCUGAGAGGCCAGAACUGAAGCCCCGGUGAACGGCGGCCGUAACUAUAACGGUCCUAAGGUAGCGAAAUUCCUUGUCGGGUAAGUUCCGACCCGCACGAAUGGCG
rnacentral:rRNA from 1 species